AAUAGAUUUUUAAGUCCCA
rnacentral:misc_RNA from 1 species